GGGUUGUGAGGUUAAGCGACUAAGCGUACACGGUGGAUGCCCUGGCAGUCAGAGGCGAUGAAGGGCGUGCUAAUCUGCGAUAAGCGCCGGUAAGGUGAUAUGAACCGUUAUAACCGGCGAUACCCGAAUGGGGAAACCCAGUGUGUUUCGACACACUAUCAUUAACUGAAUCCAUAGGUUAAUGAGGCGAACCGGGGGAACUGAAACAUCUAAGUACCCCGAGGAAAAGAAAUCAACCGAGAUUCCCCCAGUAGCGGCGAGCGAACGGGGAGGAGCCCAGAGCCUGAAUCAGCAUGUGUGUUAGUGGAAGCGUCUGGAAAGGCGCGCGAUACAGGGUGACAGCCCCGUACACAAAAGCGCACAUGCUGUGAGCUCGAUGAGUAGGGCGGGACACGUGGUAUCCUGUCUGAAUAUGGGGGGACCAUCCUCCAAGGCUAAAUACUCCUGACUGACCGAUAGUGAACCAGUACCGUGAGGGAAAGGCGAAAAGAACCCCGGCGAGGGGAGUGAAAAAGAACCUGAAACCGUGUACGUACAAGCAGUGGGAGCCCCACCACUAAGCCAGUGGUGAACUCCACAUACGCAUCCUUUGCUGAGGAUACGGUUAACGGAGCGCAAGCGACGUUCAACCUCAAAAGAAGCAGAGGGGGCUUAGUGGUGGGGUGACUGCGUACCUUUUGUAUAAUGGGUCAGCGACUUAUAUUCUGUAGCAAGGUUAACCGAAUAGGGGAGCCGGAGGGAAACCGAGUCUUAAU
rnacentral:rRNA from 1 species